rnacentral:rRNA from 1 species
AUUGAACGCUGACGGCAGGCCUAACACAUGCAAGUCGGACGGUAGCACAGAGAGCUUGCUCUUGGGUGACGAGUGGCGGACGGGUGAGUAAUGUCUGGGGGUCUGCCCGAUAGGGGGGGAUAACCACUGGAAACGGUGGCUAAUACCGCAUAACGACGCAAGACCAAAGAGGGGGACCUUCGGGCCUCUCACUAUCGGAUGAACCCAGAUGGGAUUAGCUAGUAGGCGGGGUAAUGGCCCACCUAGGCGACGAUCCCUAGCUGGUCUGAGAGGAUGACCAGCCACACUGGAACUGAGACACGGUCCAGACUCCUACGGGAGGCAGCAGUGGGGAAUAUUGCACAAUGGGCGCAAGCCUGAUGCAGCCAUGCCGCGUGUAUGAAGAAGGCCUUCGGGUUGUAAAGUACUUUCAGCGGGGAGGAAGGCGGUGCGGUUAAUAACCGUACCGAUUGACGUUACCCGCAGAAGAAGCACCGGCUAACUCCGUGCCAGCCGCCGCCGUAA